rnacentral:rRNA from 1 species
GACGAACGCUGGCGGCGUGCCUAAUACAUGCAAGUAGAACGCUGAAGGAGGAGCUUGCUUCUCUGGAUGAGUUGCGAACGGGUGAGUAACGCGUAGGUAACCUGCCUGGUAGCGGGGGAUAACUAUUGGAAACGAUAGCUAAUACCGCAUAAUAGCAGUCGUCGCAUGACAACUGUUUGAAAGGUGCAAUUGCACCAUUACCAGAUGGACCUGCGUUGUAUUAGCUAGUUGGUGGGGUAACGGCUCACCAAGGCGACGAUACAUAGUCGACCUGAGGGGGGGGUCGGCCACACUGGGACUGGGGCACGGCCCAGGCUCCUUCGGGGGGGCGCCGUAGGGGAUCUUCGGCAAUGGGCGGAAGUCUUGACGAGCCACGCCGCGGGAGUGGAGGAGGGUUUCGGGUCGUAAAGCUCUGUUGUUAGGGGAGAACGAGUGUGGGAGUGGAAAGUUCACACUGUGACGGUAUCUUACCAGAAAGGGACGGCUAACUACGUG